AUGAGUGGAAUGACUCCCAUCGGAUGUGGGUGGGAAUGGGCAAUCCCUGUGACGAGGACGACAUGGACCUCUUCUAUGCUUCGACCACUAUCACUAUUGGCAAUGGGGCUAUUGCGCCUUUUUGGGACUCCCCUUGGUUAUUUGGUAGGAAACCAAAAGAUGUGGCUCCACUCAUCUUUGAGUGCUCUACGAGGAAAAAUUGGAAGGUACGCUAAGCCUUACUUGAGGGCGCAUGGAUUGGCAAAGUCAAAAUUUCGACCUCCUUUACUCUCGAACAUAUCCGUCAAUUUGUCCAUCUUUGGACCUUGCUUCGGAAUGUUCAUCUCGAGGAGGAUAGGGUGGAUUCCGUCGCAUGGAAGCACACAAUGA
rnacentral:rRNA from 1 species